UAAGCAUAUCACUAAGCGGAGGAAAAGAAACUAACUAGGAUUCCCCCAGUAACUGCGAGUGAAGAGGGAAGAGCUCAUCAUUGGAAUCUGGCAGCGUUGCGCUGUCCGAGUUGUAGAUGAGAAGAGUAGGUCAUCUGGACUGCGUGGUGUCCAAGUACAAUAGGCCGUCAGUGGGACAUCAUAGAGGGUGACAAUCCCGUCCUUGACAACCAACGUACGAGUCCAUUACGAUGCCUAUCUCAGAGAGUCGAGCAGUUUGGGAUUUGCUGCUUAAACAUGGGAGGUAGAUUCCUUCUAAAGCUAAAUACAGGCAAGAGACCGAUAGAGAACAAGUACCGCAAGGGAAAGAUGAAAUAGAACUCUGUGAAGGGAGUCAAAAAGACGUGAAAUUGUUGCGAGAGAAGCGAUUCAAGUCAGCGUAGCUAGGCCCAUCAAGCUUCUUGCUUUGGACUAGCUUUGCCAGCGGUCUUGUCCUUUUAGAGACUUGACUUUUGACGUGCCCUGUCCGGUCUAACGGGCAGGCCCUUCGGGGCCAGUGGCAUGGCUGGUGGAAUGGCUUGCAAUCGACCCGUCUUGAAACACGGACCAAGGAGUCUAACAUGUGUGCGAGUAUAAGGGUGGCAAACCCGUAUGCGCAAAGAAAGUGAUAGCCUUUUAUGGCUGAGAAUGGCCUGAUGACCAGACAAGCAAUAUUAUGUUCCUCGUACGGUCAUUGCCCAAGUCCCGUGGUCAGAUCCCAUGGACAUGGAGUUAGAGCAUACAUGCUAGGACCCGAAAGAUGGUGAACUAUGCCUGGACAAAGCGAAGCCAAAGGAAACUCUGGUGGAGGCUUGUAGCGAUUCUGACGUGCAAAUCGAUCGUCUGAUCUGGGUAUAGGGGCGAAAGACUAAUCGAACC
rnacentral:rRNA from 1 species